AAAGAAGGAAGACAGACCACACUGAGAAAGCAGGUGUGAGAGGCGGGACUAGCCUAGUGGCCCCGGGUGGAACCCCUGCAAGGCCGCACCUUGGUCCUGCUGACUUGGCCCCUCCGGGCUGGUCUCCUGCCCCUUCUUUCAUCUAAUCCCCCUGCUGCUGCAGGGAAGAUGGACAGCUGAGCCUGGCAAAGGGCAAGCACCUCAGCCACAGGAGAGCAUAGGAAACUCAGAAGUCAGGACAUAGUUGAUGUGUUACCGGUGGGCUUCGGGGACCAGAGGGGAAGCAGAGGGGCGUUCUAAGCCACAACUGAAAUUCCCAGUUCUGGGUUAAACCCCAUGAACCUAAGGGUCUGUGUCACAUGGCUCCCGGUCGUGAUCCCCUGCCCCCUCACUUAGCUCUAUUUCAGGCUCAGGAGGAGGUCUUAGCUUUCUCUGUUGAGUUUUCAAGCAGUAUGCAUUAAAAUAAGGAAAACCAGCUUCUUGCGUUCUUUGAAAUCGUGCCCCCAUCCUUGGUGUGGUCCUCUGAACACAUCAAGGCCAAGACUAACACUGAUAGACUAUGUAGGUGGGGCGCAAGGCCAAGCUCCCUGUUUUCCUUCCUUCCCAUUACCUGCAGCAUAUUUUACACCAGGAUAAACCUUAACUUUAAAAAUCAUAAGGCUUUCAGGAGUUCGUGUCGUGGCACAGUGGUUAAUGAAUCCGACUAGGAACCAUGAGGUUGCAGGUCCGAUCCCUGGCCUUGCUCAGUGGGUUAAAGAUCCGGCGUUGCCGUGAGCUGUGGUGUAGGUUGCAGACGCGGCUCGGAUCCCGUGUUACUGUGGCUCUGGCGUAGGCUGGUGGCUACAGCUCCGAUUCGACCCCUAGCCUGGGAACCUCCAUAUGCUGCAAGAGCGGCCCAGUAAAUGGCAAAAAGAUGACAAAAAAAAAAAAAAAAUCAUAAGGCUUUCACAUCUUACUGGAAAGAAGAUGAUCAGUUAAUGGAAUAGUAAACCCUUCCCAACCCACCUUCGGCCUAUGGAACGAGUGGAGACCUGGCAUUUGCAGGGUUAACAGCUGAGCCUUAGAACUGGUGGGCUGGAGUCAGUCAGCAUCUCAAUGUGGCUUUGUCUUUUAAGAAAGACUGCUUGGUUUUAUGGGGAAGAUUAUAUGCUCGGGAGAAUCGCAAAGGUCGCCAAAUAUUUCUUGGAAAGAGCAGUUAUGCAUACAUUGUCAUAGGUGACUUAGACUUAAUGCAUUUAGUCAAAAUAACCCAAGUGCCCACGACGUGCCAGGCAUAGUUGUAGAUGCUACAACGGUGCUGCCAUUAAGACAGAUCAGGUAAUGGCCCUUAUGAAGGAGACAGAAUAACAAGGAAAGAAAAUAAUUUUAGUUUAUAUUGUGCAGAAAGAAAAACAAGGCUAGAGAAUAUUAGGAGAGGAACGAGCAGGAUCUCUGAGGAGGUGAUACUUGGGCUACGCCCUGGGGAGUGAGGCACCAGCAAAACUAUGCAGCAGCUUCACUUCUCUUGGCUACAACCCUCUCAUCUUAGAGGGAGGGUAGGGGGUGUUAGGUUUCCACAGGUACAAAUAAGGAGGUUAGUUAAGCAUUUCCAACAGCGGUUGCAGGACCACAAGCUGCUCAGCAGAGGCCAGUCUCCAGUGCCCUGUGGAAGAUACUGGUGAGGUUUUCAGAUCUCUGUUCCUGGUGAACAAUUCUCAGCUGGAAGAUGAAAUUCAAAGUCUGUGGGAAACAGUAUGGCGGUUUCUCAAAAAAUUAGACAUUGAAAUACCAUAUGCUCCAGCCUCUGGAUAUGUAUUCCAGGAAUUGAAAGCAGGGACUCAAACAGAUAUUUGUACAACAAUGUUCACAGCGGCAUUAUUCACAAUAACCAAAAGGUGGAAAUAACCCAAAUGCCCAACCACAAAUGAGUGGAUACAGAAAGUGUAGUACAUAAAUCCGAAGGAGUAUUACUCAGCCUUCAAAAAGGAAUAAAGUUCUGACACAUGUUGCAACAGGGAUGGACCUAGAGAAUAUUACACUGAGUGAAAAUAAACCCAAAAAGAACAAAUCCAGUGUGAUUUCGUUUCUAUGACGUACAUAAAAUAGGUGAAUUCGUAGAGACAAAAAGUAGAAUGCAGGGGAGUGGAAUGAAUGUUUGCUAAGUACAGAAUUUCUGUUUGGGAUGAUAAAGUUCUGGAAAUAGUGAUGGUUGCACAACCACUAAAUGUACUUACUGCCACUGAGUCGUACCAUCAAAAAUAGUUGAAAUUGUACAUUUUGUGUUACGGAUAUUUUACCACAAAAGAAAGAAAGCACAUGAGAGGUUGAGAGGAGGCUGAUCAGGCAGUGACAACCUUGAUCUUAAUGUUUAAAAUAAACCAGAGGGGUGUGGAGGCAGAUGGGGCCAGGGCUCUGCAGGUGGCUGUCAGGUAGCUCCUAUGCCACGCCCCUGACACCUCCAGGACAGACCUUGCAGCCCCUAUGGCAGCAGAAAAGGGGUGGAGCCUCAAGUCAGACAGGGGUCAGGGAGGGACGUAAACUUCCUGCCAUGUCCCCUACCCAUCACGUGCCUCCCCCAUAGACCCGGAAAAGACCCACUUGCUGCUUCCAACACCGCCAGACACUUCUGGUGGCUGGUGUGGCUCCUGGGUAGAGGAGGUCAGCCCUGAGCCCAGGGGGUCUCAAGGUGUGGUCCCCUGGGAAUGUUCUAAAUGCUAAUUCUCAGGCCCUACCCUGGACCUACUGAUCCAAAACCCUAGAUGUGGGGCCCAACAGUGUGUUUCAACAAGUCAUCCUCUGGGAGACUCUGAUGUUGGGGAACCACUGUUCCCAACCCCUGCAGGAAGAGCUGGAUGCUUUUCUGGGCAAUAACCCCAUGCAUUUAGUGAGCGCCUCCUGAGUGCAAAGCCCCAGACUGUGUGCAACUGGGGGACACAAGGCGAGCCAUCGCAGGAAGCACCCUUCCUAUGGGAUGCUCGGACCCCAAGGACAUCAGAGGGCAUGAGCAGCUGGGAGCCCAGGUAGGGUAGGUGAGCCUGCAUCACACCCUCUCCUGGUGUGGGCACACCUGGCAUGGCCGGCCAGGGCCCCUUUGCCACAAGCUGCCAUGGUGCUGCUGUGUCAGCACCAUGCUCUCAGCUCAGCUGCCUGUGUACAUAAAGCAGAUGUGUCUUUCCUUGGCGUUCUCUUAUGGCAUGGCAGGUUAGGGAUCCAUCGUUGUCACUGCAGCAGCUCGGGUCACUGCUGUGGCACAGGUUUGAUCCCUGGCCCAGG
rnacentral:lncRNA from 1 species